GAUGAACGCUGGCGGCGUGCCUAAUACAUGCAAGUCGAGCGAACGGACGAGAAGCUUGCUUCUCUGAUGUUAGCGGCGGACGGGUGAGUAACACGUGGAUAACCUACCUAUAAGACUGGGAUAACUUCGGGAAACCGGAGCUAAUACCGGAUAAUAUUUUGAACCGCAUGGUUCAAAAGUGAAAGACGGUCUUGCUGUCACUUAUAGAUGGAUCCGCGCUGCAUUAGCUAGUUGGUAAGGUAACGGCUUACCAAGGCAACGAUGCAUAGCCGACCUGAGAGGGUGAUCGGCCACACUGGAACUGAGACACGGUCCAGACUCCGACGGGAGGCAGCAGUAGGGAAUCUGCCGCAAUGGGCGAAAGCCUGACGGAGCAACGCCGCGUGAGUGAUGAAGGUCUUCGGAUCGUAAAACUCUGUUAUUAGGGAAGAACAUAUGUGUAAGUAACUGUGCACAUCUUGACGGUACCUAAGCAGAAAGCCACGGCUAACUACGU
rnacentral:rRNA from 1 species